UACAGAGGUCUCGAGCGUUAGGCGGAAUCACUGGGCUUAAAGCGUGUGUAGGUGGAUGCCUAAGUACCUUGUGAAAUCCCACAGCUUAACUGUGGAACUGCUUGGUAUACUGGGUGUCUUGAGUCACUCAGGGGCGAGCGGAACAAAUGGUGGAGCGGUGAAAUGCGUAGAUAUCAUUUGGAACGCCAAUGGUGAAAACAGCUCGCUGGGGGUGCACUGACACUGAGACACGAAAGUCAGGGGAGCGAACGGG
rnacentral:rRNA from 1 species